UAGAAAUGAAUUAAUAUGUACUUGGAGGAAUAUCAAGAAUAAGGUAUUACGAUACCUGUAAAUUCGAUGUGAACUGAAUAGUCUAAGAAAUGUUAUAUAAGUACAUAUGGAAAUUUUAUUAUUGGAGAUAAGAUUUCACAGGAAGAGAUGCUAUGUGCUAUAUAUAUAUAUAUUUAUUUUAGCAAGAGGAAUGAUGAAUCAAGUUAAUGAUCAAGAUAAAACUAUGUUAGUAAUUAACAUAGCUUGAGUGUUGGCCUUGAUUGGCAAAUAAGAAUUUAAAUAAGUAUAAAGUCGUUAGUUAAUACGAUUAGCAAUGAGAAGUGAAAUAUGUUAUGAUUAUACGAAUUAUGUGUAUGAUUAAAUAAAUAUACAUUAUAUAAUGUGAAUACAUUUAUUUUGUAUAUAAAAGUGAAGUAAGAAUUAAGUUAUGUAACCUAAUAUAUAUAUUAGGCGUGAUAAUUAAAUAACCUAAAUGGUUAUCGUUAUUUAGUGGUCCUAAUAUUUUAUUUUUAUAUUAGUGACCUAAUUUAAGAGAAUUGUGGAACAUGUCACAAUUUAUUAAAUUAUUUUGUUCGAAUAGGUGAGUAAAGGAAUAUGAAGAUUAUGUGAUGGUUUAUAUUGUUUAUUAUAUAAACAAAUAAAAGAAACUAAUGUGAUCCUAAUUAUAUAUUAGGAAUGAAGAAUUUAAUAACUUAAGGGUUAUGAGAUGAGAAAAUUAUGGUAUUUAGAAUAUAUACCAAUUAUGAGAGAUUUAUUUUAUACAUCUCAGUUAAUUAAUUUUAUAGCCUAAUUAUAGCAAGUCUAAUUAGAUUAAGAUAUUAAAUGUACUUAAGUAAGAAUUUUUAUUUCAUUUGAGUGCAUGUAAACUCUAAUUUAAUGAUAAGGGUAGAAUGGAAUAGAAUUAGAAGUAAUGGGCUAUAAUAAUAUCAUAGCCCAAUUAAUUUAUAGAGAGUCCAAGAGAAAUAUAUUUAAUGGACUAAGGAAGUUAUAUUAUAUAAGCAAGCCCAAUUAAUUAAUUAAGUAUGAGACUUGUAGAUAAUAUGAUUUAAGGGCGAUUAAAUUAAUAAUCUAGCCUAGCAUAUUAUGUAUGGGACAAGAAUUAUAAAGGCCCAAUCUAAUUUGUAGAGGAAGCCUAAUUUUAUUUUUGUUAGUAAGUAAUCAAGUAAAAUGGCUAGCUCAAUGGAAUUAAUUAUUGAGAGCCCAAGCUAAGCCCACUUGUGGGAGAAUAAUAAAUUAUAUUAAGUUAAGAGAUAUAUUUUUAUUAUCUCAGGUUAUUAAUUUUAUAACUUAAUUAAAAUAAGCUUAAUUGGGUUAUAGAAUUUAUUGUAGUAGAGUGAUGAUUUAAAUUCUAAUUAUUUGGAAUGAUACCCUAAUUAAAUAUUUAGGGUGGGUAAAGAUAGAAAGAAUUGGUCUAUGUAUAU
rnacentral:lncRNA from 1 species